rnacentral:siRNA from 1 species
UUUGUGGACUAUGAAUGGGGUU